GUGGGGAAUAUUGGACAAUGGGGGAAACCCUGACGCAGCAACGCCGCGUGAGCGAAGAAGGUUUUCGGAUUGUAAAGCUCUGUCUUUAGGGACGAUAAUGACGGUACCUAAGGAGGAAGCCCCGGCUAACUACGUGCCAGCAGCCGCGGUAAUACGUAGGGGGCAAGCGUUGUCCGGAUUCACUGGGCGUAAAGAGCACGUAGGCGGGUAAUUAAGUCAGGUGUGAAAGUUUUCGGCUCAACCGGAAAAGUGCACUUGAAACUGGAUAACUUGAGUAUCGGAGAGGUAAGCGGAAUUCCUAGUGUAGCGGUGAAAUGCGUAGAGAUUAGGAAGAACACCGGUGGCGAAGGCGGCUUGCUGGACGAUAACUGACGCUGAGGUGCGAAAGCGUGGGGAGCGAACAGGAUUAGAUACCCUAGUAGUCC
rnacentral:rRNA from 1 species